UCUGCCUGGUAGUGGGGGAUAACGUCCGGAAACGGACGCUAAUACCGCAUACGUCCUACGGGAGAAAGCAGGGGACCUUCGGGCCUUGCGCUAUCAGAUGAGCCUAGGUCGGAUUAGCUAGUUGGUGGGGUAAUGGCUCACCAAGGCGACGAUCCGUAACUGGUCUGAGAGGAUGAUCAGUCACACUGGAACUGAGACACGGUCCAGACUCCUACGGGAGGCAGCAGUGGGGAAUAUUGGACAAUGGGCGAAAGCCUGAUCCAGCCAUGCCGCGUGUGUGAAGAAGGUCUUCGGAUUGUAAAGCACUUUAAGUUGGGAGGAAGGGCAGUAAAUUAAUACUUUGCUGUUUUGACGUUACCGACAGAAUAAGCACCGGCUAACUCUGUGCCAGCAGCCGCGGUAAUACAGAGGGUGCAAGCGUUAAUCGGAAUUACUGGGCGUAAAGCGCGCGUAGGUGGUUCGUUAAGUUGGAUGUGAAAUCCCCGGGCUCAACCUGGGAACUGCAUUCAAAACUGACGAGCUAGAGUAUGGUAGAGGGUGGUGGAAUUUCCUGUGUAGCGGUGAAAUGCGUA
rnacentral:rRNA from 1 species